rnacentral:rRNA from 1 species
UACGUAGGGGGCAAGCGUUGUCCGGAUUUAUUGGGCGUAAAGAGCGUGUAGGCGACCACACAGGUCUGCUGUGAAAACUCGAGGCUCAACCUCGAGCUGUCGGUGGAAACCGUGUGGCUAGAGUCCGGAAGAGGAGAGUGGAAUUCCCGGUGUAGCGGUGAAAUGCGCAGAUAUCGGGAAGAACACCCGUGGCGAAGGCGGCUCUCUGGGACGGUACUGACGCUGAGACGCGAAAGCGUGGGGAGCGAACAGG